UACGGAGGGUGCAAGCGUUGUUCGGAUUUAUUGGGCGUAAAGCGCGUGUAGGCGGUUUCUUAAGUCUGAUGUGAAAGCCCUGGGCUCAACCCAGGAAGUGCAUUGGAUACUGGGAAACUUGAAUACGGGAGAGGGUAGUGGAAUUCCUAGUGUAGGAGUGAAAUCCGUAGAUAUUAGGAGGAACACCGGUGGCGAAGGCGGCUAUCUGGCCCGUAAUUGACGCUGAGGCGCGAAAGCGUGGGGAGCAAACAGG
rnacentral:rRNA from 1 species